ACUUAAUAGUAAUAAUAGGGUUAGUUACUGUUUAUGAGUUUAGGUCUAGGUGCAGCUUAUAAAAAGGGUGAAAUGAAUUAUACUGGCUAGACUUAGCUAAUUUUUUAAUGAAUCUUAAAAAGUGAGUAAGAUUUAAAAGUAAAUUUAUGAGAGUAUCUUAAGUUGAAACAAGCUCUGGGGUAUGUACAUAUCGCCCGUCGCUCUCAUGAAUAAUUGAGAUAAGUCGUAACAAAGUAAAUGUACCGGAAGGUAUUU
rnacentral:rRNA from 1 species